AUACGGAGGACGCGAGCGUUAUCCGGAUUCAUUGGGUUUAAAGGGUGCGCAGGCGGCCGUGCAAGUCAGCGGUGAAAGCCCGGGGCUCAACCCCGGAAGUGCCGUUGAUACUGCAUGGCUGGAAUGCGGUCGAGGCGGGCGGAACGUGGCGUGUAGCGGGGGAAUGCGGAGAUAUGCCACAGAAAGCCGAUAGCGGAGGCAGCUCGCCAGGCCUGCAUUGACGCUCGGGCACGAAAGCGUGGGGAUCGAACAGGAUUAGAUGCCCUGGUAGUCCACGCCGUAAACGAUGGGCGCUCGUCGUCGGCGGCAGACAGUCGGCGGCCAAGCGAAAGCGAUAAGCGCCCCACCUGGGGAGUACGGUCGCAAGGCUGAAACUCAAAUGAAUUGGCGGGG
rnacentral:rRNA from 1 species